UCCUGCCCGGGGGAGGCUUCCCAGGAGUGUGAGGGAUUUACAGUCACCUCCUGUGGCUCCCCAUCCCCUGCAGAGUCGCCCUGAAGGCCAUGUUCGGUGGCAGGCUGCAGACAGCUCUGCUGGUGGCUGGCUACUUUGUCUACCUGCUGGUGGGUGCUGCCGUGUUCCAGGCCCUGGAGAGGACUGCCGAGAAGCAGGAGAAAAUGGCAGCUGCCCAGAUGAAGGAGGCUUUUCUGCAGAACUUCACGCAGCUCACGGUGGCGGAGAUGGAGCAGUUCAUGAAGAACCUGAUUGAAGCCAUUCAAAAUGGAGUAUACCCUGUUGGAAAUGAGUCACAGUUUGAAGAGAGCAACUGGGAUUUCAGCAACUCCUUCUUCUUUGCAGGCACAGUUGUCUCCACAAUAGGCUAUGGCACAUUACAUCCUAAAACUGCUGGGGGACAGAUAUUUUGUGUGUUUUUUGCUCUUUUUGGAAUCCCUCUGAACAUUGUUUUUCUGCACCGUGUCGGUAAGAUGCUCUCACUGCUCUGUAAAAAGCUGGGGAAAUUCCUGUACGAGAAAGGAAUGAGAAAGAAGAAGAUCAAAUUUCUGACCCUUUUGUUCUUCCUGGCAACGGGGAUCCUGGUUUUUCUGUGCUUGCCAUCAGUCUUCUUCCAGAUAACAGAGGGCUGGUCCUACAGUGAAGGAAUUUACUUUGCAUUUAUCACCCUCAGCACCAUUGGCUUCGGAGAUUAUGUUGUAGGCAAACAGUCUGACAGGAAAUACUUUUCCUACUAUCGAGUGCUUGUGGCCAUUUGGAUUCUCUUUGGCCUUGCCUGGAUUGCUCUGCUGUUUAAUUUAUUGACAACAGUACUAGAAGAUACUGAAAAAAUAAUUGUCAAGGAUCUCCAGCAAAUUGGAAAGUGCACAUUCCUGUGUCCCAUCCAGCUGAUGAGCUGAGAAAUGGAGCAAUCAGCCCUGUAGAAAGGAUCUGAGAGCAUUGGCACAGGUGUUCCCAGAGAAAGAAGACAAUAUGCCCUCAAGUCUCUGUAGUAAGGGUUUGGAUCUAAGCCACUGAAGACCAGCAUGUGAGGCCUAAUCCCGUAAAAACAGUCAGUGUUUGGAUGGGAAACAUGUCACUGAUCUGGAGCCAGGUGGGUGCAGACUUCUGUGGGAGGAUGAGUCAAGAGAGCUCUGGCACCAUCUGCAAAAGGACCUGAUGCUGUGGGAGAGAGCUCAGCAAGUGUAAAAACCCAUGAGGAAGCAGUGAUGGUCCAAAGAAAAGCCCACAAUUGCCCUGGUUGUCCUUGGAGCAUUCUGGAAAUCACUGCAAGACCAACUUGAAGGGAAACUUGAAAUGUUUCCCUUCCACCUCUGAGCCAUGAGACAGGGAUGGUCUGUUCCUCACUCGGCUUUUCUGGAGGAACUCCAGCCUUGAGCACAGCACUGACAGCUGGCAGGGUGCCACUGGCUUUGCCAGAUCUGACCACAGCUGGUCCCUGAUGCAAUAAAAUGUUGAAUCACCAGAAUCUGAGAAUGUGAUUGUCUGGAGGGUCACCAAGAAAAAUCAGCAAAGACUUGCUGGCACCUUGCAAUGCAUUUGCCUGUUCCAGGCUCUGUGGAAACCUCACCUGUCAAAUGUCCUCCAAACUGGGCUCAGAUGCUCAAAUUUGCCAGUGGAGAAAAGCAUUUCUGAUAACGCUGCCCAACCUAAGCUUGCAAAGAAACCUCAAGUAGAGAGAGCCUCAUAAUGAAUAAAGGUUUGUCUCACAAAAUUCCCAUGCCCCAAGGGGGUGCAACCCACUCACCCAAAACCAAGAGCAAAUGUGUGACAGAAAGGAUGCAUUGGGAUACUGGGAGCAAUUCAGCAUCCAUGAUGGUUCAUGAGUGACCCAUCAGCUCUGCCAGCCACUGGAAUGGGGUUUUUUUGCUUCCCCUCCAUCUGCCAGCUCAACAAGACAUCUCCACAGUGAUCCACACAUAUCCUGAGAUACCUUCAAACAGGCUUCCCUGUCACUGCAGCCCAACACAGUUUCCAUAAAGUAUAGGAGGACCUGAAGGGCUUGAGCAAGAUCAGUUUCACUGGUUGCUCAGAAAAAAGCUGUGGC